ensembl:lncRNA
AAGUAAGAAAAAACCCAGAAACAAAACCCAGCUAUACUAUAAAACACUGACGAAAUAUAUAUGAUUGUUGUAAUUUUCAAAUGACCUGAAGGCAGUUUGUCUGUUUUCAGCAUCUCCUGAUACUGAUAUUACAGCAAUAGACAGCAGAAUUUUUUUAUGGCCCCAUUAUUUGUUAGUAUUUCUGUAAUCAAUACCAUCAACCAAUGUGCUGAGCUGGUGGCAAACAAAUCAAUAAUUCUGCCCCAUGUUUUUGUUUUAGGAAAUGCACCCUUUUAUCUCUUAAUUAAAGGUCAUUAUUUCAAUCUCAUGUGAGUUCACUAGACAUACAGGAAUAUUCAAGAGGAAUAGAAAGCAACCUUAAGGUUGAUAUGUAAAAACUAAAUCACAUAUAAAUUAGAAUAUACAGAUUACUAGUAUUUUUCAGUUCAUGAAAAAUUCAUGUAAAAAAAGUUUACAAAACAUUAAGAAACGGUUAUUUAUAUUAGAGAGAUUUUCUUUGAUUAAGCAUUUGUUAAGCAUAAUUCUCUCACCCUAAGGCAUUUAAAAUGUAAUUCACCUAAUGAAAAAUCCAUUUUCCUCAAAAAUUCUAGGAAGCCCAUCAAUGUCAAUAUGCCUCUUUUCUCAAAUUCUGCUUUUUGCUUUUUACCAAGAAAGAAAAAAAAGACAUAGCCAUUUUUACUUAAAAGCAAUCAUACUGAAUUUUAUUCUUUGUAAACUAACUUCUAAAAUUUUUGGAAUCAAAAAUCACCAUACCUUGACAGUUUGAGUGGUUUAUGUGUAUUUAAUUAUGACAUUUCUUUGGUCUUUAUUUAAGUGACUUGUUUCUGAUGGAAUCCAGUAUAUUCCUCUCUGUGACUUUUAAGCAGACAUAAUUAGGAGAGCUGCAGCUAAUGCCAACAGUUAAAGCUAACGCAAUUCGUAUGGCUGUCAAUAAAAGGGACCAAUUAAGGUUUGCACAAGCCAUGCUUUUCACAGCUAACAGAGUUCUCCUAAAUCUCUAGAGAUUUUCAUCUUUUGUUUUUUGAAGAAAAAUAUUUAUCUGUUUACACAAUUUUUGUCUGCUUUAACUGCCUCCAAAAUGAAAGAUAUGCUAGACCAACACUAAAGGUUUAAUAAUAAGGAAUUCAAAGUCAGGAAAUUUCAAGGUUAAUUCUAAAUGUCAGAGUCAUUAUGCACACUUAAGCAACAGCAGUUCUAACAAAAGUCUCCCACACAUUGCUAGAAACUUUCAUUGUUUUUUGAAUGAUUCCAUAAAUUCUUACCGCAAGCCUACAUUUCUCAGGUAUUUACACUAUUUCUCUGGUGUUCAAUAGGCUGAAAACACAGUCCGUCCUGGUUGGGAUGACUAAUUCCAAUUAUCAGUGAGAAAUUGGGUUGCUGUUACUCUAAUGCAAUUGGGGGUCUACAGGUGCAACCCAGAGGAUUCACUGGGGCUCUCCUGAUUACUGUCAUGUCCAGGAGCAAACACUGAGUAAAAAGUACAUCAAUUCAAUAAAACCCGGGUUACUAAAUACGUAGACCUUUAAGAAUGAAUUUAACUCUCAUGAGCUUAAAAACAAAAGUGAUCAACUGAGGUGCUGGCUUAGGGCACAGGAGGCUUGUAAUGAGUGGUAGGAAAAGGAAGUGACAAAAACACUACAGCCUUAAAGCCACUUAUACAAAUGAGGAAAUGAGGAAUGCUGCAGUUUUACAUAUUUGUGUGUGUGUGUGUGAAAGAGAGAGAAAGGGAUUCUAUAGACCUGUAUACAUUAACCUGUGUAUAGUAAUGAAUUAUAUUCUUCCAUCUUCCUUUUGUCCUGUUUUGUUGUGUGAAGAGUAUGAGUGAUGUUUAAAUUUAUAGUUUAGUCCAUAUGUCACAAGACCACAAGAAGCUACACGUGGCUCUGACGGGGAAGCCUUCAUAUCACCUGGAGAUUGAGGACUAUUGAAAUUAAUGCAGUAACUGAUGAGACUUUGGGGAAAGAGGAAGAGUAGUUGUGUGUCAUGAAAUAUAGUUGCAUCAAAUUAGGCAAAGAAUGAUGUAUCGUUUGGGAGUUAAAGUACAGUGGUGAAAUGGAUACAGAAAGAUUUUUAAAAUGUGAACUGAUCAGGUCAUUUGUCUCUUUUCUCUCAGAUAUACUCCUCAGUAUUUCUUUAUUCUGUAUCUCAGAUAGGCUGGAUACUGCAGUUGUAUUUCAUAGGCUCAAUUGCCAAGCUGACUCUUCCAAGUUGAUUUGGCCAAUUGAAUUGCUAGAUGGAGUUGCUAUUUCAGAAAGCACCUCUAUGUGUGGUUGCGGCUUCUCCAAGAUUCCAGAUCCUGUUGGAUACCUUUCUAUCCAGAGUUCUAGCUCCUGCUGAACGCACAGCUUCUUUUACUCUUGUUCUGUGACCUGCUCCUGUUGUCUCUUCAGCCCU